AGCAAAUCUCUGACGUAUUGUAGUCUGCUAACUUCUUUAUAUUCUUUUCACUUUUAUUUUGCUGCGCAAAUAACUUGAUUACGAACCGUUUUUGAUUAACUUCUACCCCGCUUCUACUUACCGUCUGUUUUGAAAGUUCUUGCUUCUCAUAAACGGCAUAAUAUGUCAUCAGCACGCCUUUUUUCUCGGGCUUUAGUAAACAUAAGUUCAAAGCCUUCAAAUAUCUGUCUUCAUAGUCGUUAUUGUUCAGAAGCUACCGUUAAACUAGGCUCUAUUGAUUUUGAAUCAGUGAAAACUGGACUAGAUAAGAAGAGCUUGACAUACAUAGAUGUUCGUAAUAGAAGUGAGUUGCAAAAGGAUGGCAUGAUUGUAGGAAGCUUCAACAUUCCUUUGCCAGAGGUAACCAAUGCAUUUGCCAUGAGCCCUGAAGAUUUCAAACAAAAGUAUGGCUUUUCCAUGCCAGAGAAAAGUGCAGAUAACAUUAUUGUGGGCUGCCUGUUUGCAAUCAGAUCAAAAGAAGCUGGAUUAUUUCUUCAGAAAAUUGGCUAUAAAACCAUAAGGAUUUAUAAUGGAGGCUUCAAUGAAUGGAAAGCUAAAGAUGGACCCAUCAGUAAAUAAUUUUUUUCCUUGUAAGUGGACUGAUGUGAAAGUGAACUGUGAAGACACAUGCAUCGUAUUGAGAACAGGAAGAUUGCGAUUGUGUGAUCGCUGAUCGGUUAAUUUUUUUGCAGAAUUUUUGAAUUUCUAUCAAUUUUUUGUGGCAUUGCCAGACCACAGAU